UACGUAGGUGACAAGCGUUGUCCGGAUUUACUGGGCGUAAAGAGCGCGCAGGCGGUCGUUCAAGUCGAGUGUGAAAGCCCCCGGCUCAACUGGGGAGGGUCACUCGAUACUGAUCGACUCGAAGGCAGGAGAGGGAAGUGGAAUUCCCGGUGUAGUGGUGAAAUGCGUAGAUAUCGGGAGGAAGACCAGUGGCGAAGGCGGGUCUCUGGACAGUUCCUGACGCUGAGGCACGAAGGCCAGGGGAGCAAACGGG
rnacentral:rRNA from 1 species